rnacentral:rRNA from 1 species
UAGAGUUUGAUCAUGGCUCAGAGCGAACGCUGGCGGCAGGCUUAACACAUGCAAGUCGAGCGGGCGUAGCAAUACGUCAGCGGCAGACGGGUGAGUAACGCGUGGGAACAUACCUUUUGGUUCGGAACAACACAGGGAAACUUGUGCUAAUACCGGAUAAGCCCUUACGGGGAAAGAUUUAUCGCCGAAAGAUUGGCCCGCGUCUGAUUAGCUAGUUGGUGAGGUAAUGGCUCACCAAGGCGACGAUCAGUAGCUGGUCUGAGAGGAUGAUCAGCCACGUUGGGACUGAGACACGGCCCAAACUCCUACGGGAGGCAGCAGUGGGGAAUAUUGGACAAUGGGCGCAAGCCUGAUCCAGCCAUGCCGCGUGAGUGAUGAAGGCCCUAGGGUUGUAAAGCUCUUUUGUGCGGGAAGAUAAUGACGGUACCGCAAGAAUAAGCCCCGGCUAACUUCGUGCCAGCCGCCGCGGUAAUAC